rnacentral:rRNA from 1 species
AAUACAUGCAAGUCGAGCGGACAGAAGGGAGCUUGCUCCCGGACGUUAGCGGCGGACGGGUGAGUAACACGUAGGUAACCUGCCCCUUAGACUGGGAUAACUCCGGGAAACCGGAGCUAAUACGGGAUAAUAAAGAGAAUCACCUGAUUCUCUUUUGAAAGACGGUUUCGGCUGUCACUAAGGGAUGGGCCUGCGGCGCAUUAGCUAGUUGGUAAGGUAACGGCUUACCAAGGCGACGAUGCGUAGCCGACCUGAGAGGGUGAUCGGCCACACUGGGACUGAGACACGGCCCAGACUCCUACGGGAGGCAGCAGUAGGGAAUCUUCCGCAAUGGACGAAAGUCUGACGGAGCAACGCCGCGUGAGUGAGGAAGGCCUUCGGGUCGUAAAGCUCUGUUGUGAGGGAAGAACAAGUACCGGGGUAACUACCGGUACCUUGACGGUACCUCACCAGAAAGCCACGGCUAACUACGUGCCAGCAGCCGCGGUAAUACGUAGGUGGCAAGCGUUGUCCGGAAUUAUUGGGCGUAAAGCGCGCGCAGGCGGCUUCUUAAGUCUGAUGUGAAAUCUCGGGGCUCAACCCCGAGCGGCCAUUGGAAACUGGGAAGCUUGAGUGCAGAAGAGGAGAGUGGAAUUCCACGUGUAGCGGUGAAAUGCGUAGAUAUGUGGAGGAACACCAGUGGCGAAGGCGACUCUCUGGUCUGUAACUGACGCUUGAGGCGCGAAA